GACGAACGCUGGCGGCGUGCUUAACACAUGCAAGUCGAACGGAAAGGCCCUGCUUGCAGGGUACUCGAGUGGCGAACGGGUGAGUAACACGUGGGUGAUCUGCCCUGCACUUCGGGAUAAGCCUGGGAAACUGGGUCUAAUACCGGAUAGGAGCCAUUUUUAGUGUGAUGGUUGGAAAGUUUUUUCGGUGUAGGAUGAGCUCGCGGCCUAUCAGCUUGUUGGUGGGGUAAUGGCCUACCAAGGCGGCGACGGGUAGCCGGCCUGAGAGGGUGGACGGCCACAUUGGGACUGAGAUACGGCCCAGACUCCUACGGGAGGCAGCAGUGGGGAAUAUUGCACAAUGGGGGCAAGCCUGAUGCAGCGACGCCGCGUGGGGGAUGACGGCCUUCGGGUUGUAAACUCCUUUCGCUAGGGACGAAGCUUUUUGUGACGGUACAUAGAUAAGAAGCACCGGCUAACUACGUG
rnacentral:rRNA from 1 species